GGAUGCGAUCAUACCAGCACUAAAGCAUCGAAUCCCAUCAGAACUCCAAAGUUAAGCGUGCUUGGGCGAGAGUAGUACUAGGAUGGGUGACCUCCUGGGAAGUCCUCGUGUUGCAUUCC
rnacentral:rRNA from 1 species